rnacentral:misc_RNA from 1 species
GAUGAAGAACGUAGCGAAAUGCGAUACUUGGUGUGAAUUGCAGAAUCCCGUGAACCAUCGAGUCUUUGAACGCAAGUUGCGCCUCAAGCCAUUAGGUUGAGGGCACGCCUGCCUGGGCGUCACAUAUCGUUGCCUGAUGCCAGUUUCCUCGUGAUGGGUGACUGUGCAGGGCGAAUGAUGGCUUCCCGUGAGCAUUGUUGCCUCAUGGUUGGUUGAAAAUUGAGUCCUUGGUAGGGAGCGCCGUGAUAGAUGGUGGUUGAGUGACGAACGAGACCCAAUCAUGUGAGACCCCUACCGAAUUUGGCCUUCAUGACCCACAUGCGUCUUUGGAACGCUCAUGACGAGACCUCAGGUCAGGCGGGGCUACCCGCUGAGUUUAAGCAUAUCAAUAAGCGGAGGA